rnacentral:lncRNA from 1 species
GAAAAGGUGAAAUGCGCUCAAAACUUUUAUUAAAUCAAAGUCCACCGGUGUUGGGGGCACCUUCAGCAAAGGAUGUGAAUGGUUAGUGUGAAAGAUGGCAUCUUUGGGCUGUGCGCUGGGAAGCAACCCAACCUCUCGGGACAAAGAGCAGGCCAGCUUUCCCUUGGGUAGUUAGGGACAGUUUGCCAGAAGGCUCAAUGACUGGAAUCCCGACUGUCCUUACAGGCUGACCCCGCAGUCUCCCAAGGCCUAGCCUAGGGCCGGCGGCCGGGGCGGGGCUGGAGCAGCGGGGAGGGGCUUUUCCGCUGUGUCCCUAAGACCGCACCAGUCGCCCAGGGCAGUCUGUCCGUGCCUUUCCCCGCUAGUCCUGCGACGGCAGACCGAGGUGGACACGCGCCAGCUCGGCCUCCUGCAGCCUCCCCGGGUCUGAUGAACUCACACCCGUCCCGUGAUCGUCUGCGGACCAGAAUGAAGUCAACGCAGAGGAAACCACAAACUCCAGCUAUAUAAAGAGGCUGUGCUUAUUGGAGGGAUGGAAUCAGUCUCUUUUCCCUGACUUGGAUAAAGCGAUCAUCUUGAGACCCCUUACGGCUGAAUGUGCCUCCCCAUACAUAUGUACUGGAAAUUUAAUCCCCACUGAAGCACCAUUGCUGCAUAUGAAGAAGAGAUUAGGCCAUGAGGGAGGGGUGAAUGGUUUCCCAGUGCAGGUUAUCACCAUGUCACCCCUGGGUUCUUGUUAAGCCAAUGAUUUUGGGAUGACUUUCCCCUUUCUCUCUUUCUCCCCUCCUCUCUCUUCUUUCUACCUUCUUCUAUGGGAUGUGCCAGCAAGAAAGUUUUGCCAGAUUGCUAUUCCCUUGCCCUUGGACUUACCAGCUUCUAGGAGUACGAGAAAUACAUAACUUUUCUUUGUAAAUGACAAGAAGGUCUGCGGUAGUCUACUGUGACACUGCAAAAUGAACUCACAUUUUCAGCUUGACAUUCCAUGCUUUUGAAUUAAUGAACUAACCCUCUGGGUCAAAGUAAUGAGAUUAUGUUAUCUAAAGUACUUUGUUUUUUUUUU